AUUGAACGCGGCGGCAUGCUUUACACAUGCAAGUCGGACGGCAGCACAGAGAAGCUUGCUUCUUGGGUGGCGAGUGGCGAACGGGUGAGUAACAUAUCGGAACGUACCGAGUAGUGGGGGAUAACUGAUCGAAAGAUCAGCUAAUACCGCAUACGUCUUGAGAGGGAAAGCAGGGGACCUUCGGGCCUUGCGCUAUUCGAGCGGCCGAUAUCUGAUUAGCUAGUUGGUGGGGUAAAGGCCUACCAAGGCGACGAUCAGUAGCGGGUCUGAGAGGAUGAUCCGCCACACUGGGACUGAGACACGGCCCAGACUCCUACGGGAGGCAGCAGUGGGGAAUUUUGGACAAUGGGCGCAAGCCUGAUCCAGCCAUGCCGCGUGUCUGAAGAAGGCCUUCGGGUUGUAA
rnacentral:rRNA from 1 species